GGGAAUUUGGGAGAAGGUCCUAUCUGAGUCUUUACUCAGGUAUGAAGCCUUUGCUUUGUAUGAAGCAUUUAUUGAAACAGACACCAUUUCCACACCUCUGCCUUUUGUCACGAUGCUCUGAAACCUGGCUGGUGGGAGAUACAGGUUUAUUCAGGCAGCUUUAAUUUCCUGUGGUUAUAGAGAAAUACCCUCAGUGUUCAGAAGCUGGGAAUAUAAUGGAAUCAAAGAAUGGUUUGGGUUGGAAAGGGACCUUAAAUCUCACCUUGUUCUACCCUCUGCCAUGGUCAGGGGCACCUUCCUCUACCCCAGGUUCCUCCAAACCCCAUCCAAGCUGGCCUUGAACACUUCCAGGUCUGAGGAAAUCUGCAGAUAAAGUCAUAAAAGAUGUCACAGAUCAGGCACGUGAGAGUAUCACAAAUUGCUUAAUGCUACUGGUGUGACCAGAUAUGAAAUAUUGAUUUUCAGCCCUUUUAUGGCUGGAUGAUAUCUCUUAGCAUUGCAAAUGUACACUCUUUAAUCAGUGGAUUUCCAUUCAGCUUUCCUGUCUGAUGUCUUUCAUCUGCCCAAAAAGGUCCAGACUAAGAGGUGCUUUUUGAACCAAAAAUGUUAAGGAGCUACCAAACUUUCACAAUAACCUGGAUGUGCUCCCUGUUUUAACCAAUCCAGCAAAAUCAUAACCUGUUACCUGGUAGAUGUGGUGUUUUCUUUCCUGUUCUCUUCUCCUUUUAGGAGCUCAAUUCUGUGUUUCCACAGCCUCAGAAGUGGGGAAUGGUGAUGGGGAGAGGACCCUGCUUUCCAGGCUAAAUCCUCCCUCACAUUAAUCUCUUCCAUUGGCACUGCAUUUUAUCAGGGAGGAGGAGGACAUCAGGAAGUCUCCUAAUCCUUGCUGCCUUGCCAAAUGAUGGAAAUGUGAAAGCUGCCAGAAAGAACAGGGAUGAAAAGUGAUACUCCUCCAGUUUGUCUCUCUGAUGCUGCAACCUGGAGACAAGUCAUUUCUGCAGCAAGGCUGUGCAAACAUCAUGUGUUCCUGUGUGGAAAGCAGGGGAGACGGCCAGGAGCAACAGGACAUGGUGAGGAACAUCCGGGAUCAGCUCCUGACUCCCUUGUUUUAUUUUCUCUUGGGUUCUGCCUUGUUCCAUUCCAGAAGCUGUUUCCAGGGACUGGGAUCAGCCCGGUUGGAGGUGCAGAAAAUGAACCCAGCAGCCAGCUCUGCUCAGUGACUCAGAAUCUCUGCUGCCAUCUUCAGUAA
rnacentral:lncRNA from 1 species